rnacentral:rRNA from 1 species
GACGAACGCUGGCGGCGUGCUUAACACAUGCAAGUCGAGCGGUAAGGCCCUUUGGGGUACACGAGCGGCGAACGGGUGAGUAACACGUGAGUGACCUGCCCUCAGCUCUGGGAUAAGCCUGGGAAACCGGGUCUAAUACUGGAUAUGACUCCAUGACGCAUGUUGUGGGGUGGAAAGCCUUGUGCGGCUGAGGAUGGGCCCGCGGCCUAUCAGCUUGUUGGUGGGGUGAUGGCCUACCAAGGCGACGACGGGUAGCCGGCCUGAGAGGGCGACCGGCCACACUGGGACUGAGACACGGCCCAGACUCCUACGGGAGGCAGCAGUGGGGAAUCUUGCGCAAUGGGCGAAAGCCUGACGCAGCGACGCCGCGUGAGGGAUGACGGCCU